UUUACUCUGAGAUGUUCGCCAGUGAGUCUAUAUCCCUGCCGAUACUUAUAUCUCCGGAUACGGUCUAUAUAUUUAGAGUGUAUGCCUGCCUUGUGUAGGAAACCCAGCAAGUAUAUGGCCUUGUCCACCUUGAACUCAUCGGGUUCAGGGUAACGACAUGCAGCGGCAUCUUCGGAGUGUUU
rnacentral:other from 1 species